rnacentral:rRNA from 1 species
GACGAACGCUGGCGGCACGCUUAACACAUGCAAGUCGAACGGUGAAGAGGAGCUUGCUUCUUGGAUCAGUGGCGGACGGGUGAGUAACACGUGAGCAACCUGCCUUUAAGAGGGGGAGUAACGUUCGGAAACGAACGCUAAUACCGCAUAACAUAUGGGAUUCGCAUGUUUUCCUAUAUCAAAGAUUUAUCGCUUAGAGAUGGGCUCGCGUCUGAUUAGCUAGUUGGUGAGGUAACGGCUCACCAAGGCGACGAUCAGUGGCCGGACUGAGAGGUUGAACGGCCACAUUGGGACUGAGACACGGCCCAG